AGCUGCACCACGAGGGUGGGAAGACUGUAGCACGAGGACAGAAAGAGGGCUGGAGCCCGGAGGAAGCAGAGAAAAAAAACGAGGCGGCUGCUGCCUGUUUAUCAGAUGUGGAGAGAAAACCUGGUGACGUCGGGCUCCAGCGAUCGGAGCACGCCGAGCCCAGAUAGCGCCGCACGGGGCCAAUUACGGUUGCCAUGGAACAAAACAGAGAAACUAAUGGAAGCCGGAAUGAAUGCGAGUCUUAAUCCAGGCCGCGACUGCAGACAGACGGCUCUUUCGGGUUCUAUUUGCUCUGCGACGCCUGUGUUUCUCCUCAUUUUAAUGCCUGACCUUUGACAGCGUCCCUCCUCCUGCCCUAUACACAGAGUGUUAAUCCAGCGCUGUGUCUGGCUGAAACGACCCUUCAUCAUUAUCAACGGGCUAAAACAGAACGCAGCCGCGCUCGACGACACAAACGUGCUCCGUGUGUACGAAUUUGACAUUUGUGCUAAAACUGCUGCAUGUGCACAGCUCGAGUGAGGAAUGGGCCUUUCACCUUCACCAUUUGCCGGCAGAGAGAAGGAGCUGCGGCUGCAUCGCAGGGUAACACACCGCCGCUGAUAUAUCACAUGGCAACAAGUGGAGAGAAGCUUCUGGAAGUGCUGAUCCAGAGCUUUCAGAUGACACCUCUAAAUUGAGAGACUUGAAACACCUGACUAUCAAAAUUGUGCCGAAUAAAACCUUUUUUUACAGUCUCCUGA